rnacentral:rRNA from 1 species
UACGUAGGGGGCAAGCGUUGUCCGGAAUCAUUGGGCGUAAAGAGCGCGUAGGCGGCCCGAUAAGUCCGCUGUGAAAGUCAAAGGCUCAACCUUUGAAAGCCGGUGGAUACUGUGGGGCUAGAGUCCGGAAGAGGCGAGUGGAAUUCCUGGUGUAGCGGUGGAAUGCGCAGAUAUCAGGAGGAACACCAAUAGCGAAGGCAGCUCGCUGGGACGGUACUGACGCUAAGGCGCGAAAGCGUGGGGAGCGAACGAGG